rnacentral:rRNA from 1 species
CCUACGGGAGGCAGCAGUGGGGAAUUUUGGACAAUGGGGGCAACCCUGAUCCAGCAAUGCCGCGUGAGUGAAGAAGGCCUUCGGGUUGUAAAGCUCUUUUGUCAGGGAAGAAACAGCAGCUCUAACACAGUCUGCGAAUGACGGUACCUGAAGAAUAAGCACCGGCUAACUACGUGCCAGCAGCCGCGGUAAUACGUAGGGUGCGAGCGUUAAUCGGAAUUACUGGGCGUAAAGCGUGCGCAGGCGGUUAUACAAGACAGGCGUGAAAUCCCCGGGCUUAACCUGGGAAUGGCGUCUGUGACUGUAUAGCUAGAGUGUGUCAGAGGGGGGUGGAAUUCCACGUGUAGCAGUGAAGUGCGUAGAUAUGUGGAGGAACACCAAUGGCGAAGGCAGCCCCCUGGGAUAACACUGACGCUCAUGCACGAAAGCGUGGGGAGCAAACAGGAUUAGAUACUCUGGUAGUCCACGCCCUAAACGAUGCUGACUAGUUGUUGGGAAUUUACAUUCUCAGCAACGUAGCUAACGCGUGAAGUCAGCCGCCUGGGGAGUACGGUCGCAAGAUUAAAACUCAAAGGAAUUGACGG